GCGCGCCGGCCCGGGCUGGGGCGGCUGCGCGCACGGCGCCUCUCCACCAACCCGCUCCCCGCAGGUCUCUCGCUCGCUCCAUCCCUCGCCGGCGCCCGCUCGCUCCCCCCGCCCUUUGAUUGACAGGCAAGAUGUCGGUGUGGAGCGAGGCAGGAGCGAUUGCAGCAGCCGUCACCCCCGGAGCCCGGCGGCGGCAGCAGCAGCAGCAGCAGCAGCGCGGGGAGGAGACAGCAGCCAGCCGCAGUAGCCGCCGCAGCCGCGGGAGCAGUGCAGACAGCAUCUUGAGAACGCGCUAAAGCACUCGGAACCGUGGACCAUGCCGUGUCACUGCAACUGGGAGGGGGGCAAACUCGCUUUUUUUUGACAUAAAAGCCAGCCAGCCAAAAAUAUAUAAUUUUGUCCUUCACGGAGCCGGUGUGUAAAGAGUGAGCGCUAUUUUCCUCCUCCUCCUCCUCCUCCUCCCUCCUCCUCCUCUUUCUCCUUCUCCUCCUCUUUUUCCUCCUCCUCCUCCCCAAGUGCACAGACAGCAUCACAUCACCUGGUUGUUUCUGAGAAAAGGCAUCUCUCCUUUUCAGGGACUAGAGACUCAGAGGAGACAUUCUAAUGGAGACUGCCUGAUACCCCCCCCCCCCAAUAAAAUAAUAAAUUUUGUCUCUUGUCCCCUCCUCCUACCCCCACCCCCUCAACCCUGUGUGAGAUGUUGGGUUUCUUCUUCAUGAGACAUUGUCGAGAAGUCGCAGUGGUUGGAGAGGCGUAGGGGGUAGACUGCCUCUGCCUCUACUCCCUCCCCCCUUUUUUCUCUCUGGGAGGAGGAGGAGGAGGGGAAGGGGUUUUGCAGAGCAAGCGAUGGAUGAGGAAAACAUGACGAAAAGCGAGGAGCAGCAACCUCUGAGUUUGCAAAAAGCCUUACAGCAGUGCGAGUUGGUACAAAACAUGAUAGACUUGAGCAUCUCCAACCUGGAAGGGCUUAGGAN
rnacentral:lncRNA from 1 species